GAUGAGCGCUGGCGGCGUGCCUAAUACAUGCAAGUCGAGCGAACAGACGAGGAGCUUGCUCCUCUGACGUUAGCGGCGGACGGGUGAGUAACACGUGGAUAACCUACCUAUAAGACUGGGAUAACUUCGGGAAACCGGAGCUAAUACCGGAUAAUAUGUUGAACCGCAUGGUUCAAUAGUGAAAGACGGUUUUGCUGUCACUUAUAGAUGGAUCCGCGCCGCUUUAGCUGGUUGUUAAGGUAACGGCUUACCAAGGCGACGAUGCGUAGCCGACCUGAGAGGGUGAUGGGCCACACUGGAACUGAGAGACGGUCCAGACUCCUACGGGAGGCAGCAGUAGGGAAUCUUCCGCAAUGGGCGAAAGCCUGACGGAGCAACGCCGGGUGAGUGAUGAAGGUCUUCGGAUCGUAUAACUCUGUUAUUAGUGAAGAACAAAUGUGUAAGUAACUAUGCACGUCUUGACGGUACCUAAUCAGAAAGCCACGGCUAACUACGUG
rnacentral:rRNA from 1 species